ACGUUGCCUAUAACCAAGCUUGUCUAUUUGUACUGUUUUGCCUACUUUUGGAUUUUAUCAAAUAAAGAGUUAUUUCGUCUGAUAUGAUAUAUUUUUGCAAUCUCUCUUAAUCUAAUAACCUAUGGUCACAUUCAUAGGAUAUUAAGGGGGCAUCGUUGGUGUAGAGUCCAAGAACUUUACUUAGCUAAGAUAGAUAGUAGUAUUAUAGUAUGUAUAGUAUUAUCUUUGUAACUGUGGAUUUUUGGUUCAGACCGGGAAUUAUUUGGACACUCAUAGUAGUACUUAUAGAUUUUCUAAGUUUAACCUAUAGUUUAAGAAUAUUAAUGUUAACCUAAGGUUUGAUUAUAUGACUGAUAUUAAGAAUAAUAUUUAUUAUACUAUAAGGUUUAGAUGAGGACCAAUAGGAUUUUAAGCACAUGUUAUGAAUGGGUGAUUAAGGAUUAAGUAUUUUGAGGAUUAAAUUUAAUAAGGAGAAAAGUUUGAAUGCUAUAGGGACAGUCAACAGCUUUGAAUACGUUGAAGGCUUAGUCAAGGCUGUUUACUCCAUUCAAACUUAGCUAAAAAUGUGUAAUUUCAUGUUUAAAUGUUCAGCGUGUGCCGAUAUAUCACAGCUAUAGGGGGCGAUAUAUCGCAGCACGUAGAUACGGAAAACACGAGAUGAUGCACGACAGCCUCGGGCAUACUGGCCCAGGCGAUAUAUCGCCUACAGGGGGAGAUAUAUCGCCUCCAUCAAUGUAUUUUGAAUUGUUUUGAAAUCAUUUCCCAUUCAGCCAUUCAACCUCUUGAUAAGUCCAGCAUCUUUUUGAACGAGUCUUCAGCCUCUGCUGAACGAUUAUUCAAAUAUUUUUCACCUAAAAAGCUAUUAUUUUUAUUCAAGUAAAAUCAAGAUCCUUUCAUUCCUAAACUCUAUAAAUAGGACCUAGUACCCAGCCAUUAUUCAUCUUUUUCUCUAAGUUCAGAGGCUGCUAAUGCUAAGUGAGUGUGAGAGUGUAAACACCUGGUUUGGGGAAAUCAUAAGCUUAAACAUCAUAAGCUUAUCAAACACUUUGGGAAGUAAGGUUCUAUAGUAUUUCGGUUGUUGUGUAGAUUGGUCUUACAAGUCUUUUAGGUAAACAAAAACUCUAGUUCAUUUGGUUUAUGUUAUUUCCUUUUUCAUAACCUUCUACUCAGUCUCCUAACCUCAUUCUUAUUUUGGUUAGGAAAUCUAAGUUCUUGAGCACAUAAGUUUCGGUAAGCAUGUUUUUCAAUGGUUUAUUCUUCCCAUUUCCUUUUCAUCUCUUUUCUUCAUUAGACUCACCCUGUUAUAUAUGGUUUUAGGAGUGUUCCAAAAAGUCUCAACGCUGUCCUCUUAUCCCGGUAACUUUGGAAAAUAGCUAUUAGUGGCGGUAAGGUUCGUGGAUGCUUGGAGAUUGUGUAUCGAUGGUGAAUGGAUUCAAGGAGUCGAGAGUUCGAUCUUUCGAGGAUGUAGUCUUGAUUUACCUUUUUAUGGUUUUACAUGUAUUUUUCCGCACUUUCUAUGUAACAAUGUUUUUUUACUUUAAGUUAUGUUUUGUUUUAAAGACAAUGGGUACCCAUAUCCUACUUAUUUUAUGAAAGUAACUUUUGUUUCUACAA